CUUCCGCACUGGGACAAGACACCACUGCACUAUUGAACUACGGCAAGUUGGUGCCGUCCGGUGUAGCUUCAUACAGGAACCACUGCCUUACCUGCUGGUGUCACAACGUUGGAUGAACGCACAAAAAGCGCGGAACGAGCUUUUAUAUAGAG
rnacentral:lncRNA from 1 species